rnacentral:rRNA from 1 species
CUGUAAGCAAGCUUUGAUCCGGGGGUGUCCGAAUGGGGAAACCCAGCUGGGGUAAUUUCCAGUUACUCAUAACUGAAUACAUAGGUUAUGUAGAGGAAUACCAGGGGAACUGAAACAUCUAAGUACCUUGAGGAAGAGAAAACACUAGUGAUUCCGUCAGUAGCGGCGAGCGAACGCGGAGAAGCCCAAACCAGAGAGCUUGCUCUUUGGGGUUG